AUAAGGUCCGUGUUCGAAAGGGAAACAGCCCAGACCACCAGCUAAGGUCCCAAAAUAUAUGUUAAGUGGAAAAGGAUGUGGCGUUGCCCAGACAACUAGGAUGUUGGCUUAGAAGCAGCCAUCAUUUAAAGAGUGCGUAAUAGCUCACUAGUCGAGUGACACUGCGCCGAAAAUGUACCGGGGCUAAACAUAUUACCGAAGCUGUGGAUUGUCCUUUGGACAAUGGUAGGAGAGCGUUCUAAGGGCGUUGAAGCAUGAUCGUAAGGACAUGUGGAGCGCUUAGAAGUGAGAAUGCCGGUGUGAGUAGCGAAAGACGGGUGAGAAUCCCGUCCACCGAUUGACUAAGGUUUCCAGAGGAAGGCUCGUCCGCUCUGGGUUAGUCGGGUCCUAAGCUGAGGCCGACAGGCGUAGGCGAUGGAUAACAGGUUGAUAUUCCUGUACCACCUAUAAUCGUUUUAAUCGAUGGGGGGACGCAGUAGGAUAGGCGAAGCGUGCGAUUGGAUUGCACGUCUAAGCAGUAAGGCUGAGUAUUAGGCAAAUCCGGUACUCGUUAAGGCU
rnacentral:rRNA from 1 species